rnacentral:rRNA from 1 species
UACGUAGGGGGCUAGCGUUGUCCGGAAUCAUUGGGCGUAAAGCGCGUGUAGGCGGCCCGGUAAGUCCGCUGUGAAAGUCGGGGGCUCAACCCUCGGAUGCCGGUGGAUACUGUCGGGCUAGAGUGCGGAAGAGGCGAGUGGAAGUUCCGUGGUGUAGCGGUGAAAUGACGCAGAUAUCAGGAGGAACACCAAUUGCGAAGGCAGCUCGCUGGGACGUGACUGACGCUGAGACGCGAAAGCGUGGGGAGCAAACAGG